AGAGCUUUUUGCAAGAAUCCAGAUGUUUUAAAAAGGUUGGUGCUAUGUUCAAGCACUUUGUCACUUUAUUACAGAAACAGAAAUGUAAUCUGUUGAUGUGACCCUAACAAAUA